AACACAGUUGGAUAGCCACUUUCUCUUCCCUGUAUCACUUCCUCAUUCCCUGCUGCUAUACCCUGAACCUCUCAACUCACCGACUUGCUUAAACCUUUACCUUGCAGUCUGCUUCUGAGGGAUCACAAAUGAGGACGAGUUUGGCUGCAAUGAGUGCACCAGCAGAAGCCGAAGGAUAUUUCAUUCCAUACCACACAUGCAUCCCACCAUCUGUUUCCUGUUGGUACCAUGACUGAGUCAGCAGGUUUGAUGACUUCCAGUUAUGAAGAUGAGUGGGGAGGACACAGGCGAUGACAAAGACGGGGCAGGAAUGGAAGAAGCAGAGCGUAGCAAAAGGUAAUGGAGUCACUGACAGAAGCCAAACAACACCCAAAAAGGAUCAAGAUCAAAAUAUGGUGUCCCAGAAAGACCACUCGGGCUCAAUGCAGAAAGCAAAGUAGCCCAUAUGGCCUUAAACUCUCAAUUCUCCUGCCUCAGCCCAAAUUUUGAGUCUCCGUCUUGAGCUGAGCUCACCCUGGAAAGCAGAAGUGAAAAUAAAGCUUUCAGGCAGGGAGCCAACUUGCAGCUCAAGGCUGGGAAGAAUGAAAAGGCAAUUAUAUUACUGAACUAGCCACCAUUUUGUGCAACAAGAGUGUAAUCUUGCUGGAGUCCUCAAAGGAACCACAGAGAACGUCUGAAAGAAAGAAAGCUGGGCAUUUAUACACAGAAUCUCACCCUAUGUUGGUCAAAGAUUAACACACAGAAUGUUAACUCUUUCAUACUCCAGGUUUCUCAAGUGAAUUCCAAGAGAUAUCACCAAAAUGCAUAAGUGAUUACUAAAAAUGAAAAGAUUAGGGGAGAUACUGGGAGCUAGAGAUAGCAGUGGGACCUAGAUCUCCAAAGUCAAGCAAAUUUUCAGUCUGGUGUCUCUAGGGCUCUAUAGAACUGGAAUUAGGCAGAAUAGGUUCCAGACCCCUUGAAGUUGGGGAGAGGAGCCCGGCAAAAGAUAACAAAAGUGCUUUAGUUCUCUAUUGUGGAACACUCCAUAUUCCACAGCACAGUGUUCAGAGAAUACCUGAUAUCCUGCUAUGCAGUGCUGCCAAUUGUCAGAGGACAACAGAGACCAUACUCAACCUCAAGACCAAAGACAAAGUUAAACAAAUGAUUAUCAAAAGGCAGUCCUUUUCCAAUUGAGUGGGCAUGGGAAUUCAUCUGAAGCUUGCUAUACAUUUGGACCACUGGGCCCCACCCCCAAAAUUUCAAUUGGAAUGUGGAGAGCUGCACAUAUAAGCCUACAUUCAUAAUCUUUGAAAUCUAUACAUAUAAGCCUACAUUUAUCAUCUACAGUUAUAAAUCCCUCAGGCAAUUCUUAUGUAGGUGAUUCUGAACUACACUUGAGAAACACUGCCCUCAGUCUAAAUCCUGAGCCCUAUGAGGGGAGGAUGUGUUUCAUUUAUCUCUGGCUCCCUCUCCAAUACUUACCACAUCAC